rnacentral:rRNA from 1 species
GUCCACGCCGUAAACGAUGAUAACUAGCUGUCCGGGCACUUGGUGCCUGGGUGGCGCAGCUAACGCAUUAAGUUAUCCGCCUGGGGAGUACGGUCGCAAGAUUAAAACUCAAAGGAAUUGACGGGGGCCUGCACAAGCGGUGGAGCAUGUGGUUUAAUUCGAAGCAACGCGCAGAACCUUACCAGCCUUUGACAUCCCGCGCUACCUGGAGAGAUUCAGGGUUCCUUUCGGGGACGCGGUGACAGGUGCUGCAUGGCUGUCGU